rnacentral:rRNA from 1 species
CAGCCGCCGCGGUAAUACGUAGGUGGCAAGCGUUGUCCGGAAUUAUUGGGCGUAAAGGGCUCGCAGGCGGUUUCUUAAGUCUGAUGUGAAAGCCCCCGGCUCAACCGGGGAGGGUCAUUGGGAACUGGGAAACUUGGGUGCAGAAGAGGAGAGUGGAAUUCCACGUGUAGCGGUGAAAUGCGUAGAGAUGUGGAGGAACACCAGUGGCGAAGGCGACUCUCUGGUCUGUAACUGACGCUGAGGAGCGAAAGCGUGGGGAGCGAACAGGAUUAGAUACCCCCGUAGUCCCUGUCUCUUAUAC